GUGUUCACCCUGCACUCCCUGGUGGUGCGGCAGCUGUCUAAACACCACUAUGAUUUGGCCCGCACCUCCUCGCUCCACCACCCUGGAAAGAAACUGUGCUCUUUCCUCAGUGCUCCUAAUGAAGAGAUCCUGCUAAUGGCUAUGAAGGACAUGGACAUUAAUAAACUGACCUCUGCUGACCUGCCAUUGCAGAGUGGAAUCACCCAGGACUUGUUCCCUGCUGUGGAAACCCCCAUUAUAGACUAUGGCAAGAUGCCCAGUGGGACAAUGGAAGUAUCUGAACUCCAUGACAAUGAGACUUGGAAAGCUGUUAUGAGAAAACGACCUCUCCACCAGUGAGUGAACUGAGUGCUUUCUUCCUUCAUGAGA